rnacentral:rRNA from 2 species
UACGGAGGGAGCUAGCGUUGUUCGGAAUUACUGGGCGUAAAGCGCGCGUAGGCGGCUAUUCAAGUCAGAGGUGAAAGCCCGGGGCUCAACCCCGGAACUGCCUUUGAAACUAGGUAGCUAGAAUCUUGGAGAGGUCAGUGGAAUUCCGAGUGUAGAGGUGAAAUUCGUAGAUAUUCGGAAGAACACCAGUGGCGAAGGCGACUGACUGGACAAGUAUUGACGCUGAGGUGCGAAAGCGUGGGGAGCAAACAGG